rnacentral:rRNA from 1 species
UGGGGAAUUUUGGACAAUGGGCGCAAGCCUGAUCCAGCCAUGCCGCGUGCGGGAAGAAGGCCUUCGGGUUGUAAACCGCUUUUGUCAGGGAAGAAAUCUUCUGAGUUAAUACCUCGGGAGGAUGACGGUACCUGAAGAAUAAGCACCGGCUAACUACGUGCCAGCAGCCGCGGUAAUACGUAGGGUGCAAGCGUUAAUCGGAAUUACUGGGCGUAAAGCGUGCGCAGGCGGUUUUGUAAGACAGNGGCGAAAUCCCCGGGCUCAACCUGGGAACUGCCUUUGUGACUGCAAGCUUGAGUGCGGCAGAGGGGGGAUUGGAAUUCCGCGUGUAGCGGUGAAAUGCGUAGAUAUGCGGAGGAACACUGAUGGCGAAGGGCAAUCCCCCUUGGGCCUGACUGACGCUCAUGCACGAAAGCGUGGGGAGCAAACAGG